CCUACGGGUGGCAGCAGUGAGGAAUAUUGGUCAAUGGGCGGGAGCCUGAACCAGCCAAGUCGCGUGAAGGAAGAAGGCGCCAGGCGUCGUAAACUUCUUUUGUCGGGGAACAAAGGGCGCCACGUGUGGCGUUGUGAGUGUACCCGAAGAAAAAGCAUCGGCUAACUCCGUGCCAGCAGCCGCGGUAAUACGGAGGAUGCGAGCGUUAUCCGGAUUUAUUGGGUUUAAAGGGUGCGCAGGCGGGACGGAAAGUCAGCGGUAAAAGCGAGGGGCUCAACCUCGGCGAGCCGUUGAAACUGUCGGACUUGAGUCAGCGAGAAGUACGCGGAAUGCGCGGUGUAGCGGUGAAAUGCAUAGAUAUCGCGCAGAACUCCGAUUGCGAAGGCAGCAUACCGGCGCCGGACUGACGCUGAUGCACGAAAGCGUGGGUAUCGAACAGGAUUAGAUACCCGUGUAGUC
rnacentral:rRNA from 1 species